GAUGAACGCUGGCGGCGUGCCUAAUACAUGCAAGUCGAGCGAACAGACGAGGAGCUUGCUCCUCUGACGUUAGCGGCGGACGGGUGAGUAACACGUGGAUAACCUACCUAUAAGACUGGGAUAACUUCGGGAAACCGGAGCUAAUACCGGAUAAUAUAUUGAACCGCAUGGUUCAAUAGUGAAAGACGGUUUUGCUGUCACUUAUAGAUGGAUCCGCGCCGCAUUAGCUAGUUGGUAAGGUAACGGCUUACCAAGGCAACGAUGCGUAGCCGACCUGAUAGGGUGAUCGGCCACACUGGAACUGAGACACGGUCCAGACUCCUACGGGAGGCAGCAGUAGGGAAUCUUCCGCAAUGGGCGAAAGCCUGACGGAGCAACGCCGCGUGAGUGAUGAAGGUCUUCGGAUCGUAAAACUCUGUUAUUAGGGAAGAACAAAUGUGUAAGUAACUAUGCACGCCUUGACGGUACCUAAUCAGAAAGCCACGGCUAACUACGUG
rnacentral:rRNA from 1 species